AGCUUUGCGCAGUGGCAGUAUUGUAGCCAAUGAGGUUUAUCCAAGGCACGAUUAUUGCUAAUUGAAAACUUUUCCCAAUACCCCAAUGUGACGACCUGCAAUACAGUCAGCACUGGCAAUUUUUGACAGUCUCAACGGAGA
rnacentral:snRNA from 1 species